GAUAUCAAAACAGACUCGCCUGCUGUGUUUUCUUCAAACCAUCUUUUAAACUGAGGGCUUUGGUAAUACUUUCACGACCAUUUGUUGCAAACGACAUGAGGGAAAAGAUUUUCAUUGUGAAGAGGAAGCGAAAAUUUUCUAAAGCUUAAGGUCUAUCAGAGAGUGAUGCAACGAACAGACCGAAUGAACAAGUCUAACUUUUUUCCCUUUACUCCAGUGUUGUUUUGAGUAAGAAUUACUGAAGAAUUACUUGAAAGAACAUUAUAAUUGAAUACUGCAACAUGAAUUGAUACUCGCUCUCCUUUGACAUCGUUUAAAAACACCAAAUAAAUAAAUAAAUACUUUGUCUCAU